UUACAGGUAAAAUGGCCGACAGAGUAAAUAAAUAAAUCCCGUUAAGACAUCAGCAGUAAAUAUACGCUCAUAGAGUGAGUAGCUAAUAGAUGUAAACUAUAAAUCUGAAGUGUAAAUAUCUCAGUGAUGUUUGACAGUGAAACCCUAGAGAGCAAUUCAAAUGUUUGUUUUGCUCAGCUAGCCUACAUGCUAAUGCCAGUCACUAUGUGCCCAUUAUUCCCCAUAUAAACAGAACUUUUAGCUUUUGCUCAUGUAAGACUAAUUCUUAAUUUACUCAAAGGAUUUGAAUGAUAAAAUAGGGUAUUUUUAUUGUGAAAUUGUUUUAUGUUAAGUAUCAACCAUGAGGCAGUAAUACUGCUGAAUGCUAAGGUCAGAUUUUUAUGCAUUUUAGUAAUUCCACCAGGGGGCAGUAGAGGGGUCUCAGGAAAGUUGGAGGGAAAAUGAGGGGAAAAAAAAGUAAAUUGUUUAUAUAUUUUUUAACAUCAUCAAGUUUUAUACUGGAAUCGCAGAGUUGAAUUUACUACUUUUUGCUUCCUUUUUUCUAGCUCUACAAUAUUUUUACUACCAACAUAAAAUCGAGCCAAUUUCAUGCCGAUUUCAACAAUUUUGGGAGAUCGGUGAUCGGUCAAUAUUUAGGUGAAGCCGAUCUCAUCCUCUGAUCUUUUCUACUUCAGCAAAUGUCUAAAAAUCAGCCCCUUUCCUCUCCUGCUCUGCAGCGACAGGUUUGACUGACAGACCGGCCACCAGGUCGAUCUGAGAGAAAGCUGCAAUGGGUUCACUGACCAGUAAAACUUUAUCCCACUUACUGACGGUCUAACUGUGACUUUAUCUUGACCAAAACCUCACGUUAAAAACAGGAAGCACUAUUUUCAGGGCUUAUCCUAAAUCCAUAAGACUCAGGAUAUUUGUUUUUUAUAAAAUAUCAGUAAAAUCCAAAGACAUUCCAGUUUCACAAGCCGCUGCUUUAUUCUCACUAGAAUAUUAGUUUGCUACUAAUUGUCAACACCAAGACAACUCGAUAAGGUUCAAGGUAUCAUAUUUCACAGGUCAUUGAAAAGUUUAAAUAAAUAAACGUCCAUGUGCAGCGAAAUUCGGUGUUUCGGUACCAACACACCAACUCUGCCAGAUCACCGAUCAGAGCAGCUGUUAAACGAGCUAAUCAGCCACCGCUGUGUUCAGAUCAUGUUAUAACCCAAAUAAACAUCAAGCCUGGAAACGUUUGUGGGUUUUAUGGUGUUGGAUCCUCAUACAUAUAGAGGAGCUGUUUGUUGCUAUGGCAACGAGUCUGCGUGUAGCUAGCCGACACGGAAAGUGGGGGGAGGAGGAUACGAGUGGUUUUGAGUUGUUUCAUUUAGUUACCAGAACCGUUCUACAUAGGGUUGCCACCCGUCCCGCAUUUGGCUGUUAAAUGUUGCGUCCCGUAUUGAACCGAUACAACAGUAAUGUUACUCAGGAUGAACACAGGGAAUUUUAAAAAUGUGUCAGUGGCGCAGUAUGAAACCAGACAGAAUGGAUCAGGAGAGGAACUGCAGACCCGUCAGAACCUAAAGAACCAGAAAUCAGAGACUCUUCAUCCCUC